rnacentral:rRNA from 1 species
ACCUACCUAUAAGACUGGGAUAACUUCGGGAAACCGGAGCUAAUACCGGAUAAUAUAUUGAACCGCAUGGUUCAAUAGUGAAAGACGGUUUUGCUGUCACUUAUGGAUGGAUCCGCGCCGCAUUAGCUAGUUGGUAAGGUAACGGCUUACCAAGGCAACGAUGCGUAGCCGACCUGAGAGGGUGAUCGGCCACACUGGAACUGAGACACGGUCCAG